UACCAGCGCCACAAGUGGGGACCGCUUUUAUUGGGUCUAAAGCGUCCGUAGCAGGUCAUGUAAAUCUUUUGUGAAAUCGCGGGGCUUAACUUCGCGGAGUGCAGAAGACACUGCCUGACUCGGGACCGGGAGGAGUGAGAAGUAUUUCCAGGGGAACGGUAAAAUGUUUUAAUCCUGGAAGGACUACCGAUGGCGAAGACAUCUCACCAGAACGGGUCCGACUGUGAGGGACGAAAGCUAGGGGAGCGAU
rnacentral:rRNA from 1 species